AUUAAAUUAAAAAAAAGGAAAAUAUUGGGGAAUGUUUGACACCAUUUUAUUCAUCUUCAACUGCAGUGGAAAAAUAGAAACCUUUUACAAGCGCCGGCGUUGUCAGCUCAACUCAAGUUAUAUAUUUAUAUAUUUGCUAUAAAUUUCUUUUUUUUUUUUCUUUUUUUUUUUUUUUUUUUCCCUGUUUUUUCUUUUUUUUCCCCCUCGUGUAUUUUUUUUCCAAGUGCAGCAAGAGACCAAAAAGAAAAAAACCACAUCGAGCCUGAUCGGAAUAAACCCCAAAAAGCAAAAAAAAAAAAACCCCAAAAAAUCCCAAAUAAUUGGGUUUUAACCCCAUUUUUUCAUGUUUUUCUUCACAUUUAAUUUUCUCUCCGAUCAUCACCUGAAAUUUUAAAAUUUUUCCUGCUUUUUGUGCAUAUUUUUAUAUAUUUUUGUCACCUCUUUUUCACCUCUUUGGCACAAUUUUGAUUCUGCUACAGUCGGAGUCAGGAGAUCUCUUUUCCCAAUUUGCAGCACUUUAAAAAGAAAAAAAAAUCUGAUUUUUUUUGUUAUUUUCCUGACUUUUUUUUAUUUUUUAAAUUUUUUUAUUUUUUUGGAAUUUUUCCAAGCCUGAAACUCGCUGGACAAACGGAUUUCAUCUAUUCCCUGCAACCCCAAAACUGUGUUUUUUGUGUGUUUUUUUUGUGUUUUUUCCCCCAUUUUUUACAUUCACAGUUGAAUAUUUAAGGAAGGAAAGGCGCUUUUGUUGCUGAGCAGGACAAGCCAAGAGCUCCAAACAUUCAGCAUUCCCUAAAAAUAAAAUCCCUAAAAAAAAAAAGCGACUUUCCUUAAAUUUCAUUUAUUUUUUUUUCUUUUUUUUUUUUUCCCGGAAUUUAUAUUUUUUUUUUAAUUUUUUUUUUGGGAAAAAAAAAAGAGAGAAACUGCAAUGAAUUAUUAUUUUUUUUUCUUUUUUUUUUCCUUUUUUUUUUUUUUUUUUGCCCCUUUUUUGGGAUGUUUCUGGAAUUUUUUGGGGCACAGAAUUCCCUCUCCUGGAUGCCUGGGGUCACCAAAAGUUGGGAUUUUUGUUCCGAGCCUCACUCACUCAGCAUCCUCUCAUUCCCAAACAUUCCUCACACGUC
rnacentral:lncRNA from 1 species